GACCAGGAGCCAGACGGCGGCGGCAGCAAACCGGUUGGACCACGAGAGACCAAGCGCCUCCGCCGCGGUCCGGCUGGACGGCUGAUGGGUAGAGCCCCCUGCCGCUCCAUGAGCUGGAGAGGGAUGGUGGUGGCGCGCCUACUUGAAACCCGAACUCUACAGAGACAGCAGCGGGGCGCGUGAGGAAGUGAAUAUAGAUUCGGGGCCUUGGCGGGGGCCAGCCAGAGGAACAAUCGCCUAGGUUGCCCAUUGGCCCGCCGCCCGGCCCGACGUCAGCGAUGACAGGUCUCGCCGAACGCGGACACACACACACACACACACACACACACACACACACACACACACAGCUACUCCCGCUCCUCCCCCCUCACAUCCCCUACCCUCAGCAUCUCCCGCUUCUACUGCUCAUGCGCUCUGACCCGGGCACGAAUUCUUUUCUCUUCUCCUGAGCCUCCUCCCCCUCCUCUCCCGAAAGCUGGGUGGAUCUGCUCUGCCUCACGGUUCUUGGAAGUGAGCGGGGCUGGAUUUUGUCUCCAUUCUCUACGAUUUGGGGAGGGGGUGUUGGGCUGCAAGUAAUGUCCUUAGGGCAGACCUAGCGUCCCCAGCCCUGCCUGGGCUGCUGGGCAGCACCUGGCGAGCAGGCACGGCUUCGGUGGUUUGUUACAGGAGCCUGCGGGAGGCGAGAGCCGCAAUCCAGGGAGGAAAGGCGGCUCCAGACUAGGCGGUGGACAGCGAAGGAACUCCUAGGCCAGCAGUCUCUGUGCCUAAUUUUAUUUUCUCGAUUUCUUCGACAUUAUCUAUCUAUCUAUCUAUCUAUCUAUCUAUCUAUCUAUCUAUCUAUCUAUCUAUCUAUCUAUCUAUCUAUCUAUCUAUCUAUCUAUCUAUUCUAAUUUCUCUGAAAGCCCUGACCGCACUUCAUCUUCCUACUUAUUUCCUUUCUUCUCCCCUCCCCCUCUCCUUUCUUUCCACUCCCUUCUUCCCACUUAGCUUUGCGGACCCCUCCUCCAGGGUGCCUGGCACUCUCAGAGACGCGCGAACCCAAGAAUUCUGCCUGCCCAGAACCAGGAAUGGGCUGGAGGCGGUGAUGAUCUCGGAGAGGCUGGCCUCGAAAGCAGCCCUCCCGAGAGGGGCUAAGAAUGAAUCCUCCCAAUCACAAAUCACACUGAACCGCGGGCGGACUGGCCAAAGAAACAAAGGCGAGGGGAGCGCAGCAAGAAGGAACAGCUCCUUGUUCCCCGGGUCUCCCUCUGUCUCCCUCUUGAGCUCUGUACCCUGCCGCCAGACGGAGCCUUUGGGAAAGGGGACUUGGGUAUCACUUCCACUUUCAGCUCCCGCUACUUGUUGCUCACGGUCAAAGUCUCUGCCUCCCUCCUCUCUUGCCUGCAGGACUCCGAGAAGAGUGGACGCCACGUUUCCCCGCCCAGGCAAUGAGAGGGACUGUGGGCCCAUGACCUCUCGCGGAUGCCCUCCCGGGCUAGGGGCUCCACAGUCUUGGGGAGGGCGUGAGGGUUGACAAUGGAAAAACAAAACAACAACAACAACAACAAAACAACCCUUCAGUUCAGGCCCAGCCGAGUGUGGUAUAAAUGGGCGCGGGGGUGGGGGGUGUGGUGUCCUUUGUUUGUGCCGACCGGCUAGGGCUGGCUGCAUCGCCUGGCGAUUUAAAGGUCUGCUGGCCUCGACCCCUGCCUUGGUCUCUGGCCGAAAAUGCCAGCCUAAGUAAUUGGGCAUUCCUGGUGACCAAGGAAAGCGCCCCCAAAGCAGAGAAAAGCUUGUUUAUUGUUUUAAGAAAAGUUUUCAGGAUUGAUUAAAAGACUCUGCACCGGUAGCAGAGGUGAGAAGAUUGGAGAGAUUACAAGGAACUCUGAUUCAGGGUUGAUUGAGCUGCCCCACCUAUCCCCAGCACCAAGGACUAUUCUUAUAACAUUUCCUGGUCAGUAAAUAAGGAUUUCUUUUAAAUUUUAAAAAUAAUUAAUUUAUUUAUAAUGGUUGGCAGGUUCUUUGAGACUUUCUUCAUCUAGUACAUUGUUCCCUCUCAGGGAGCAUUUUUAGCGAGGGAUUAACUUCCACAACAAUUUCCCUCGGCUUUGACAAGUGCAGGUCGUUCUGCUUCUCCAGCCGGCAGAGCUUAAGCUAGGCUACCAAUAGAUGCCAAGUUAGCGUUAAAAAAAAAAAAAAAAAA